UACGAAGGGGGCUAGCGUUGCUCGGAAUCACUGGGCGUAAAGGGUGCGUAGGCGGGUCUUUAAGUCAGGGGUGAAAUCCUGGAGCUCAACUCCAGAACUGCCUUUGAUACUGAAGAUCUUGAGUUCGGGAGAGGUGAGUGGAACUGCGAGUGUAGAGGUGAAAUUCGUAGAUAUUCGCAAGAACACCAGUGGCGAAGGCGGCUCACUGGCCCGAUACUGACGCUGAGGACGAAAGCGUGGGGAGCAAACAGG
rnacentral:rRNA from 1 species